rnacentral:rRNA from 1 species
UACGUAGGGGGCAAGCGUUGUCCGGAUUUAUUGGGCGUAAAGAGCGUGUAGGCGGCCAGAUAGGUCAGCUGUGAAAACUCGAGGCUCAACCUCGAGAUGUCGGCUGAAACCAUCCGGCUAGAGUCCGGAAGAGGAGAAUGGAAUUCCCGGUGUAGCGGUGAAAUGCGCAGAUAUCGGGAGGAACACCUAUGGCGAAGGCAGCUCGCUGGGACGUUACUGACGCUGAGGCGCGAAAGCGUGGGGAGCGAACAGG